AUUAUGGCUCAGGAUGAACGCUAGCGACAGGCUUAACACAUGCAAGUCGAGGGGCAGCGAGGGAGUGGCAACACUUCUGUCGGCGACCGGCGCACGGGUGAGUAACGCGUAUGCAACCUGCCCUUCACAGGGGGAUAACCGGGAGAAAUUCCGACUAAUACCGCAUACGUCCUCCGGGGGCAUCCCCGGGGGAUGAAAGAGUUAUCGGUGAAGGAUGGGCAUGCGUGAUAUUAGGUAGUUGGCGGGGCAACGGCCCACCAAGCCUACGAUAUCUAGGGGUUCUGAGAGGAAGGUCCCCCACAUUGGUACUGAGACACGGACCAAACUCCUACGGGAGGCAGCAGUGAGGAAUAUUGGUCAAUGGACGAGAGUCUGAACCAGCCAAGUCGCGUGAAGGAAGACGGAUCUAUGGUUUGUAAACUUCUUUAGUGCGGGAACAAAGCGGCGUCGUGACGCCGGAUGAGUGUACCGCAAGAAUAAGCAUCGGCUAACUCCGUGCCAGCAGCCGCGGUAAUACGGAGGAUGCGAGCGUUAUCCGGAUUUAUUGGGUUUAAAGGGAGCGCAGGCUGCGAGGCAAGUCAGCGGUCAAAUGUCGGGGCUCAACCCCGGCCUGCCGUUGAAACUGUCCUGCUAGAGUUCGAGUGAGGUAUGCGGAAUGCGUUGUGUAGCGGUGAAAUGCAUAGAUAUGACGCAGAACUCCGAUUGCGAAGGCAGCAUACCAACUCGCGACUGACGCUGAGGCUCGAAAGCGUGGGUAUCGAACAGGAUUAGAUACCCUGGUAGUCCACGCAGUAAACGAUGAAUACUAACUGUUCGGAGGGCGACCUCUGAGUGGUAAAGCGAAAGCGUUAAGUAUUCCACCUGGGGAGUACGCCGGCAACGGUGCAACUCAAAGGAAUUGACGGA
rnacentral:rRNA from 1 species